UAGAGCUAACUGUAGUAACUAAUCCAGCUCGAACUAAUCAUGGCUCAAAGUCAAAGUCAGGACGGGAUUCACUUUGUUUUUGGUUCAAUGCAUAUCAGCUGUAGCCUGCCAAAGUAUUGAGCCUGCAACGCCACCGUGGGAGGCUACUAGUCUAAACUUUCGGUGUCUUGAACUCUUGAAUGGCUUGACCUCGGAUUUGACUGGCUAUAUGUAUUUAGAUUGAGAAAAAGAAUCAAUAACUGAGCAAUUGUAAACUAUUGGAACUAAUGAUGUCUAUGUGAAAUGGUAAUAGCACAAGGACACAAAAACUCCAUUUGGAACCUCAAUUUUUAUAAUUAAUUUUUGUUGAUAUAAAAGAUUACUGCUCUUGUAAAAUUGUGUACUGCUAUUUUUACAGUUUUUAACUUAUUUGAAGUGAUUUUAUUGUGUUAUAUUUCAUUGUUAAUUUAUGUAAAUCAUUGAUACUUUAUUGUGAAGUUUAAUGGCGAAUAGUAAAUUUUACUUCAAAAGAAAA